GGAACGGUGGCUCAGUGGUAGAGCGCUUGCCUGGCAUGCAGGAAGCCCUGGGUUCGAUUCCUCAGCCCCA
rnacentral:tRNA from 1 species